rnacentral:misc_RNA from 1 species
GGAAGGAUCAUUAACACUGGGUCGGUUCUACCGGCAUACCCCAAAAACAACUUGAGAACCUGGGUGCGUACUGGCUGUGUUGUAGGGUGACGCCCGCUCGGGGGCUAACCCAACUCUCUUCGCAAACUAUUGCAUAUGGAUCACUAAAGUGGAUACGUUAACUAAAUACAACUCUUAGCAGUGGAUAUCUUGGUUCCCACAACGAUGAAGAACGCAGCGAAAUGCGAUACGUAAUGCGAAUUGCAGAAUUCAGUGAAUCAUCAAAUCUUUGAACGCAAGUUGCGCUUUCGAGAUAUCCUUGAAAGCAUGCCUCUUUGAGUGUCGGUUUCUAUUCUCCCGGAUGCACUCGGUGUGCGUCCGGGGACUCUGAGCUCUGGUCGGUCCAUGGCUUGAAAAAUCACCAAACCCGUGCGAGCACUUGGCUUCUGACUCUGGUCUCCAACCAUGCGCCCCGCCCGGUACCAUAGAACCAUUUCUGACUCUAGAUCUCAAAUGAGGUAAGACUACCCGCUGAAUUUAAGCAUAUAAUUAAGCGGAGGAAAAGAAACUAACUAGGAUUCCCUCAGUAACGGCGAGUGAAGCGGGAAGAGCUCAAACCGAAAAUCUCUUGCUUCUGGCAGGCGAAUUGUGGUCUAUGGAGGUGUGUCUCAGCGUGCGGUCCCGGCCUAAGUCCAUUGGAACAUGGCAUCAGAGAGGGUGAGAAUCCCGUCUUUGGCUGGGUGUCCGCCGCGUUCGAGCCAUCCUCUAAGAGUCGGGUUGCUUGGGAGUGCAGCCCUAAGUGGGAGGUAAAUUUCUUCCAAAGCUAAAUAUUUGUGGGAGACCGAUAGCGAACAAGUACCGUGAGGGAAAGAUGAAAAGAACUUUGAAAAGAGAGUUAAAUAGUACUUGAAACUGCUGAGAACGAAGGGAUGGCGACUAGUAUUGGCCGGGAGGAUUUUUCCUUGGUGUCGAACGAGGCUGGCGGGUUCGGAUUGCUUCGGCUUCCUGCCCGUCGGUCGAUACGCGUCGCCUUGGGUCCUGUCCUCUUGGCUUAGGUCAGAAUGGGUUCGGUUCGAUUGAAAACGGCGUCAGCAAGGUGGCUCGGGGUGCAAACUCUGAGAUCUUAUAGGCCGGCGCUGCUAGAUCGUCCCGGACCGAGGUGCCGAAACAUGCGCUCUAAGCUGUGGGGGCCGGUCGCUGCUUGGGUGGCUUCGUUUGGGAGCAAUGCUCCGUCUCGGGGUCCACUCGGCACUCGGUCGGUUCCUCAUCUGCAUGUUGGGGAUUCUGACGAAAUGGUCGUCAUUCACCCGUCUUGAAACACGGACCAAGGAGUCUUACAUAUGUGCGAGUAAUCUAGUGGAAAACUGGCUUGCGGAUUGAAGGAGAAUGAAUGUGAUCCUGGCCUCGUGCCGGGAGCAACAUCGGGCGGCUAAUAUAACUGUACGACCAUGAGCAUAUCUGUAGGGACCCGAAAGAUGGUGAACUAUGCUUGAGCAGGAUGAAGCCAGGGGAAACUCUGGUGGAGGUCCGAAGCGAUACUGACGUGCAAAUCGUUCGUCUGACUUGAGUAUAGGGGCGAAAGACUAAUCGAACUAUCUAGUAGCUGGUUCCCUC